AAAUUUGAGAGAAAUUGAAGUCAAGCAUUAGCUACUAAUGUGCUGCAUGCAGAGAGAAGAUAAAAGGCACCAAAAUACUGUUCACAUGUAAAAAAAUGGCAAAGGAAUCUUUAAAGCAGCGGUCGUUACUGCUAUUUAAUGGUAGGUAACGUCCGUUACUGUUACAUAAUGGCCGUAACGACCGUUACACUUGCAAGUAUCUGUUUGCCUAUAAAUAAUGGCCUCACGCAUAACGGACUCCUUCAAAACUUUUAAAUAAUGUAACAGUCAUUAUUUGAAACCAUGGGUGGAAAUCCUUUGGAAUCCUAAAAAAUACACUGGUAUUUAGCCAAU
rnacentral:misc_RNA from 1 species